rfam:Methanosarcina sp. MTP4, complete genome.
GUCAACUACCCCUCCCUAAAAUCUCCGAUUUUAGAGUAAGGGGCUUGCAAAAGCCCUGGUUGACCAGACCCCCGAUUCGGAGCUUAGGAAAAUCGGGAAACGAUAGGAACGAAUUUCAUAGUUACCCUGAAAUGCCGCCUCAGUUUCAGGCUCUAAGGAUGCCGGUUAAACAGUCCUGGGAGGUAGGGACAGUGCUUGCAUCAUACAAACCGUUCCAUAUCAGAUUGAGAGGAAGCCGGA